GUCCGCACGAGCGCAACCCCUACUUGUUAGUUGCCAUCAUUCAGUUGGGCGACUCUAGCGAGACUGCCAGUAAUAAACCGGAAGGAAGGUGGGGAGUGACGUCAAAUCAUCAUGCCCCUUAUGACCUGGGCUACACACGUGCUACAAUGGUUGGUACAACGAGUUGCGAGUCGGUGACGGCGAGCUAAUCUCUUAAAGCCAAUCUCAGUUCGGAUUGUAGGCUGCAACUCGCCUACAUGAAGUCGGAAUCGCUAGUAAUCGCGGAUCAGCACGCCGCGGUGAAUACGUUCCCGGGCCUU
rnacentral:rRNA from 1 species